rnacentral:rRNA from 1 species
AAUCCAUAGGUUAAUGAGGCGAACCGGGGGAACUGAAACAUCUAAGUACCCCGAGGAAAAGAAAUCAACCGAGAUUCCCCCAGUAGCGGCGAGCGAACGGGGAGGAGCCCAGAGCCUGAAUCAGCAUGUGUGUUAGUGGAAGCGUCUGGAAAGGCGCGCGAUACAGGGUGACAGCCCCGUACACAAAAGCGCAUGUGCUGUGAGCUCGAUGAGUAGGGCGGGACACGUGGUAUCCUGUCUGAAUAUGGGGGGACCAUCCUCCAAGGCUAAAUACUCCUGACUGACCGAUAGUGAACCAGUACCGUGAGGGAAAGGCGAAAAGAACCCCGGCGAGGGGAGUGAAAAAGAACCUGAAACCGUGUACGUACAAGCAGUGGGAGCCCCACCACCAAAGCAUUUGCUGUACCGCGUUGACGGAGCGAAGCGACGUCAAACCGAUAAAACAGCAGUGUAAAGUGAGCCGCAGGGCGCUUUGCGCGACAGCGCAAAGGCAGGCGGUUUCGCGUAGCGAAAGCGAAUGCUUUGGGGUGGGGUGACUGCGUACCUUUUGUAUAAUGGGUCAGCGACUUAUAUUCUGUAGCAAGGUUAACCGAAUAGGGGAGCCGGAGGGAAACCGAGUCUUAAUUGGGCGUUAAGUUGCAGGGUAUAGACCCGAAACCCGGUGAUCUAGCCAUGGGCAGGUUGAAGGUUGGGUAACACUAACUGGAGGACCGAACCGACUAAUGUUGAAAAAUUAGCGGAUGACCUGUGGCUGGGGGUGAAAGGCCAAUCAAACCGGGAGAUAGCUGGUUCUCCCCGAAAGCUAUUUAGGUAGCGCCUCGUGAAUUCAUCUCCGGGGGUAGAGCACUGUUUCGGCUAGGGGGCCAUCCCGGCUUACCAACCCGAUGCAAACUGCGAAUACCGGAGAAUGUUAUCACGGGAGACACACGGCGGGUGCUAACGUCCGUCGUGAAGAGGGAAACAACCCAGACCGCCAGCUAAGGUCCCAAAGUCAUGGUUAAGUGGGAAACGAUGUGGGAAGGCCCAGACAGCCAGGAUGUUGGCUUAGAAGCAGCCAUCAUUUAAAGAAAGCGUAAUAGCUCACUGGUCGAGUCGGCCUGCGCGGAAGAUGUAACGGGGCUAAACCAUGCACCGAAGCUGCGGCAGCGACGCUUAUGCGUUGUUGGGUAGGGGAGCGUUCUGUAAGCCUGCGAAGGUGGCCUGUGAGGGUUGCUGGAGGUAUCAGAAGUGCGAAUGCUGACAUAAGUAACGAUAAAGCGGGUGAAAAGCCCGCUCGCCGGAAGACCAAGGGUUCCUGUCCAACGUUAAUCGGGGCAGGGUGAGUCGACCCCUAAGGCGAGGCCGAAAGGCGUAGUCGAUGGGAAACGGGUUAAUAUUCCCGUACUUGGUGUUACUGCGAAGGGGGGACGGAGAAGGCUAUGUUGGCCGGGCGACGGUUGUCCCGGUUUAAGCGUGUAGGCUGGUUUUCCAGGCAAAUCCGGAAAAUCAAGGCUGAGGCGUGAUGACGAGGCACUACGGUGCUGAAGCAACAAAUGCCCUGCUUCCAGGAAAAGCCUCUAAGCAUCAGGUAACAUCAAAUCGUACCCCAAACCGACACAGGUGGUCAGGUAGAGAAUACCAAGGCGCUUGAGAGAACUCGGGUGAAGGAACUAGGCAAAAUGGUGCCGUAACUUCGGGAGAAGGCACGCUGACACGUAGGUGAAGUGAUUUACUCACGGAGCUGAAGUCAGUCGAAGAUACCAGCUGGCUGCAACUGUUUAUUAAAAACACAGCACUGUGCAAACACGAAAGUGGACGUAUACGGUGUGACGCCUGCCCGGUGCCGGAAGGUUAAUUGAUGGGGUCAGCGCAAGCGAAGCUCCUGAUCGAAGCCCCGGUAAACGGCGGCCGUAACUAUAACGGUCCUAAGGUAGCGAAAUUCCUUGUCGGGUAAGUUCCGACCUGCACGAAUGGCGUAAUGAUGGCCAGGCUGUCUCCACCCGAGACUCAGUGAAAUUGAACUCGCUGUGAAGAUGCAGUGUACCCGCGGCAAGACGGAAAGACCCCGUGAACCUUUACUAUAGCUUGACACUGAACAUUGAGCCUUGAUGUGUAGGAUAGGUGGGAGGCUUUGAAGUGUGGACGCCAGUCUGCAUGGAGCCGACCUUGAAAUACCACCCUUUAAUGUUUGAUGUUCUAACGUGGACCCGUUACCCGGGUUGCGGACAGUGUCUGGUGGGUAGUUUGACUGGGGCGGUCUCCUCCUAAAGAGUAACGGAGGAGCACGAAGGUUGGCUAAUCCUGGUCGGACAUCAGGAGGUUAGUGCAAUGGCAUAAGCCAGCUUGACUGCGAGCGUGACGGCGCGAGCAGGUGCGAAAGCAGGUCAUAGUGAUCCGGUGGUUCUGAAUGGAAGGGCCAUCGCUCAACGGAUAAAAGGUACUCCGGGGAUAACAGGCUGAUACCGCCCAAGAGUUCAUAUCGACGGCGGUGUUUGGCACCUCGAUGUCGGCUCAUCACAUCCUGGGGCUGAAGUAGGUCCCAAGGGUAUGGCUGUUCGCCAUUUAAAGUGGUACGCGAGCUGGGUUUAGAACGUCGUGAGACAGUUCGGUCCCUAUCUGCCGUGGGCGCUGGAGAACUGAGGGGGGCUGCUCCUAGUACGAGAGGACCGGAGUGGACGCAUCACUGGUGUUCGGGUUGUCAUGCCAAUGGCACUGCCCGGUAGCUAAAUGCGGAAGAGAUAAGUGCUGAAAGCAUCUAAGCACGAAACUUGCCCCGAG